AGAGUUUGAUCAUGGCUCAGAACGAACGCUGGCGGCAUGCUUAACACAUGCAAGUCGAACGCUCUUGCGGUUUCGGCCGCAAGGGAGUGGCGCACGGGUGAGUAGCGCGUGGGAACCUGCCCCUUUGUGGGGGAUAACCGAGGGAAACUUCGGCUAAUACCGCAUACGUCGGGAGCGAUCCCGAGAAAGAUUUAUCGCAG
rnacentral:rRNA from 1 species